rnacentral:rRNA from 1 species
UACGGGGGGGUGCGAGCGUUGUCCGGAAUCACUGGGCGUAAAGGGCGCGUAGGUGGCGUCGUAAGUCUGUGGUGAAAGCCCGGAGCUCAACUCCGGGUCUGCCGCGGAUACUGCGAGGCUUGAGUGCUGUAGAGGGGGGGUAGAAUGCCGGGUGUAGCGGUGGAAUGCGUAGAGAUCCGGCAGAAGACCGGUGGCGAAGGCGGCCCCCUGGGCAGUAACUGACACUGAGACGCGAAAGCGUGGGGAGCAAACAGGG